rnacentral:rRNA from 1 species
UGCUUACACAUGCAAGUCGAACGGGCUCUUCGGAGCUAGUGGCGGACGGGUGAGUAACGCGUGAGAAUCUGCCUUCAGGAGGGGGAUAACGACUGGAAACGGUCGCUAAUACCCCAUAUGCCUCCGGGUGAAAAGUAAUUCGCCUGAAGAUGAGCUCGCGUCAGAUUAGCUAGUUGGUGGGGUAAGAGCCUACCAAGGCGACGAUCUGUAGCUGGUCUGAGAGGAUGAUCAGCCACACUGGGACUGAGACACGGCCCAGACUCCUACGGGAGGCAGCAGUGGGGAAUUUUCCGCAAUGGGCGCAAGCCUGACGGAGCAAGACCGCGUGGGGGAUGACGGCCUAAUGGUUGUAAACCCCUUUUCUCUGGGAAGAAGACUGACGGUACCAGAGGAAUCAGCCUCGGCUAACUCCGUGCCAGCAGCCGCGGUAAUACGGAGGAGGCAAGCGUUAUCCGGAAUUAUUGGGCGUAAAGCGUCCGUAGGUGGUUAUUCAAGUCUGCUGUCAAAGCGUGGGGCUUAACUCCAUAGAGGCAGUGGAAACUGAGUGACUAGAGUGCGGUAGGGGUAGAGGGAAUUCCCGGUGUAGCGGUGAAAUGCGUAGAGAUCGGGAAGAACAUCGGUGGCGAAAGCGCUCUACUGGACGGCGACUGACACUCAGGGACGAAAGCUAGGGGAGCGAAUGGGAUUAGAUACCCCAGUAGUCCUAGCUGUAAACGAUGGAUACUAGGUGUAGCUUGUAUCGACCCGAGCUGUGCCGAAGCUAACGCGUUAAGUAUCCCGCCUGGGGAGUACGCACGCAAGUGUGAAACUCAAAGGAAUUGACGGGGGCCCGCACAAGCGGUGGAGUAUGUGGUUUAAUUCGAUGCAACGCGAAGAACCUUA